GGGACAUCUGAGGGCUUCUGAUAUACUCAAUGGUCUCAUAAUCUGGUUGGGUUUGCAAAGUGCACACCAAAGACUCCAGAGAAGACGUUGCCAGUUCAUAUCACAAAUGUUGUUCUCUUGAAGCCCAUGAGUGAGUGAAAGAAGGUAAGACCC
rnacentral:lncRNA from 1 species